UCCCUGUUACCAGGGCAGUCUGUUUAGAAAAAUCCAACUAAACAUAAGGGUUGCGCUCGUUGAGGGACUUAACCCAACAUCUCACGACACGAGCUGACGACGGCCAUGCAUCACCUGUCACCGGGUUCCUAAAAGGCACAGUCUCCUUUCGGAGUCCUUCCCGGGAUGUCAAACCUUGGUAAGGUUCUUCGCUUAUCAUCGAAUUAAACCACACGCUCCACCGCUUGUGCGGGUCCCCGUCAAUUCCUUUGAGUUUUAAGCUUGCGCUCGUACUACUCAGGCGGGAUGCUUAACGCGUUAGCUUCGCUUCUGACGGGGUCGAUACCGCCAAAUAGCUAGCAUCCAUCGUUUACGGCAUGGACUAC
rnacentral:misc_RNA from 1 species